rnacentral:rRNA from 1 species
GAGAGAGCGGCGUACGGGCGCGGAACACGUGUGCAACCUGCCUUUAUCUGGGGGAUAGCCUUUCGAAAGGAAGAUUAAUACUCCAUAAUAUAUUGAGCGGCAUCGUUUAAUAUUGAAAGCUCCGGCGGAUAGAGAUGGGCACGCGCAAGAUUAGCUAGUUGGUGAGGUAACGGCUCACCAAGGCGAUGAUCUUUAGGGGGCCUGAGAGGGUGAUCCCCCACACUGGUACUGAGACACGGACCAGACUCCUACGGGAGGCAGCAGUGAGGAAUAUUGGUCAAUGGGUGCAAGCCUGAACCAGCCAUCCCGCGUGAAGGACGACUGCCCUAUGGGUUGUAAACUUCUUUUGUAUAGGGAUAAACCUACCCUCGUGAGGGUAGCUGAAGGUACUAUACGAAUAAGCACCGGCUAACUCCGUGCCAGCAGCCGCGGUAAUACGGAGGGUGCAAGCGUUAUCCGGAUUUAUUGGGUUUAAAGGGUCCGUAGGCGGACUUAUAAGUCAGUGGUGAAAGCCUGUCGCUUAACGAUAGAACUGCCAUUGAUACUGUAAGUCUUGAGUAUAUUUGAGGUAGCUGGAAUAA